CCCUAGCCCCGGUAGAAGCGGCAUCCUCUUGUAUUGCGUUAGCAAAUACAAGAGAUAGAGCGGAUAACGGGAAAUAGC
rnacentral:sRNA from 1 species